GGUCUAUUCGUUUAUCGGUAAGGAUGUAGCCCUGUCACGGCUAAGAGCCGGGUUCAACUCCCGGAUAGACCGCCA
rnacentral:tRNA from 1 species